AUGGUGUCUAGCAACGUUGGGUACCUCGUUUCUUGUGUGUGUGAGCGAGUGGUUGCUGUUUACGAUGUGUUCAUAUAUCGCUUUGUAGUGCUGUAAUGUGCAAAUUAGCGGACUUUAUAGCGGCUCUCUAUUUUCCGUCGUUGUCUUUCGAGCAGCGCCUGUUGUUCCGGUAAAAAUCGAGUUGAAUGAAUCGCCACAGCCCCAACGUAUAUCGCGCAGUGUUGACCAAGACCAAGUCAAGCAGGAAUUCUGGCAUGGUAUGUGGCUGCACGAAGGAUUCCGGAAAAGAAAAACAACAACAUGGCUAAUAGGAUGUUGCUGCCCAGGGAGUCCUGGCGAAGAGGUUUACUCAUUCCAGAAGCAAGAAUUGUAUCAUUGUAAGGCGAAUGGAAAUAAACUGACAUCGACUGAGA